rnacentral:rRNA from 1 species
UGGGGGAUAUUGCACAAUGGGCGAAAGCCUGAUGCAGCGACGCCGCGUGGGGGAUGAAGGCUUUCGGGUUGUAAACCUCUUUCGCUAUCGAACAAGGACCGCUUAGGGUGGGUUGAGGGUAGGUGGAGAAGAAGCGCCGGCUAACUACGUGCCAGCAGCCGCGGUAAUACGUAGGGCGCGAGCGUUGUCCGGAAUUAUUGGGCGUAAAGGGCUUGUAGGCGGCUUGUUGCGCCUGCUGUGAAAACGCGGGGCUUAACUUCGCGCGUGCAGUGGGUACGGGCAGGCUUGAGUGUGGGAGGGGUGACUGGAAUUCCAGGUGUAGCGGUGGAAUGCGCAGAUAUCUGGAGGAACACCGAUGGCGAAGGCAGGUCACUGGGCCAUUACUGACGCUGAGGAGCGAAAGCAUGGGUAGCGAACAGG